AAUUGUUGCGGUUAAAAGCUCGUAGUUGGAUUUCUGUCGAGGAUGGGUGGUCCGCUCUUUGAGCGUGUAUCUACUUCAGCCUUGGUAUCCUCCAGGGGAACGGUACUGUGCUUGAUUGCAUGGUCCGGAAUUCUGGACUUUUACUUUGAGGAAAUUAGAGUGUUUACAGCAGGCAAUCGCCUUGAAUAUAUUAGCAUGGAAUAAUAAUAUAGGACCUUGGUUCUAUUUUGUUGGUUUCUAGAACUAAGGUAAUGAUUAAUAGGGAUAAUUGGGGGCAUUCGUAUUAACACGUCAGAGGUGAAAUUCUUGGAUUGUGUUACGACGAACUACUGCGAAAGCAUUUGCCAAGGAUGUUUUCAUUGAUCAAGAACGAAAGUGAGGGGAUCGAAGACGAUUAGAUACCGUCGUAGUCUUCACCAUAAACUAUGCCAACUAGAGAUUGGAGGUCGUUCUUUUUUAUGACUCCUUCAGCACCUUAUGAGAAAUCAAAGUCUUUGGGUUCCGGGGGGAGUAUGGUCGCAAGGCUGAAACUUAAAGGAAUUGACGGAAGGGCACCACCAGGAGUGGAGCCUGCGGCUUAAUUUGACUCAACACGGGGAAACUCACCAGGUCCAGACAUAGGGAGGAUUGACAGACUGAUAGCUCUUUCUUGAUUCUAUGGGUGGUGGUGCAUGCCGUUCUUAGUUGGUGGAGUGAUUUGUCUG
rnacentral:rRNA from 1 species